GACAGAGGGUGCAAGCGUUGUUCGGAAUUAUUGGGCGUAAAGGGCGCGUAGGCGGCGGCGCAAGUCAGAUGUGAAAUCCCGGGGCUUAACCCCGGAAGUGCAUCUGAUACUGCGUUGCUUGAGUCCCGGAGAGGGUGGUGGAAUUCCUGGUGUAGAGGUGAAAUUCGUAGAUAUCAGGAGGAACACCGGUGGCGAAGGCGGUUAGCUGGGCAGUUGCUGACACUGAGGCGCGACAGCGUGGGGAGCAAACAGG
rnacentral:rRNA from 1 species